rnacentral:rRNA from 1 species
GGAAAGAUUUUUUGGUUGGGGAUGGACUCGCGGCCUAUCAGCUUGUUGGUGAGGUGANGGCUCACCAAGGCGACGACGGGUAGCCGGCCUGAGAGGGUGACCGGCCACACUGGGACUGAGACACGGCCCAGACUCCUACGGGAGGCAGCAGUGGGGAAUAUUGCACAAUGGGCGAAAGCCUGAUGCAGCAACGCCGCGUGAGGGAUGACGGCCUUCGGGUUGUAAACCUCUUUUAGUAGGGAAGAAGCGAAAGUGACGGUACCUGCAGAAAAAGCACCGGCUAACUACGUGCCAGCAGCCGCGGUAAUACGUAGGGNGCAAGCGUUGUCCGGAAUUAUUGGGCGUAAAGAGCUCGUAGGCGGUUUGUCGCGUCUGCUGUGAAAUCCCGAGGCUCAACCUCGGGCUUGCAGUGGGUACGGGCAGACUAGAGUGCGGUAGGGGAGAUUGGAAUUCCUGGUGUAGCGGUGGAAUGCGCANAUAUCAGGAGGAACACCGAUGGCGAAGGCAGAUCUCUGGGCCGUAACUGACGCUGAGGAGCGAAAGCAUGGGGAGCGAAACAGGAUUAAAUACCCCUGGUACUCCAUGCCCGUAAAACGUUGGGGCGCUAA